GGAAUGGAUGACUAGGGUUCCGGCCCGCGCGAGCGGGUGGCUGGUCCGAGAGUCAUCGACCUCUGGCGAGGUUACACGGCGGGAUAAAAGCCCGGGAGAA
rnacentral:sRNA from 2 species